rnacentral:rRNA from 1 species
UACGUAGGGGGGCAAGCGUUGUCCGGAUUUAUUGGGCGUAAAGAGCGUGUAGGCGGCUAGGUAGGUCCGUUGUGAAAACUCGAGGCUCAACCUCGAGACGCCGAUGGAAACCUCUAGCUAGAGUCCGGAAGAGGAGAGUGGAAUUCCUGGUGUAGCGGUGGAAUGCGCAGAUAUCAGGAGGAACACCGGUGGCGAAGGCGGGUCUCUGGGCAGUAACUGACGCUGAGGAGCGAAAAGCGUGGGGGAGCGAAACAGG